AGCAGAAGACAGAAAGGAAUGUUACCGAAAGAAUUCUGAACUUGCAAUAUAUCUCAAUUUAUCUUCAAACUUCACCUUAACUGGUUAUCUUAACCACUCUGAACAUCAAAACCAAUUAAAGUGAUAGCCUGCCAUAAACUCAUGGGGCGGGGGAAACCUUGACUCUCCACACUGCUUUGUGCCAGCCAAAGACAACACUUCAAGGAUACCUGGCCAGAAAGAAGAAUGCAGGAUCCUCCUGGCAGACAAGGGAAACGGGAAAACUAAGAAUCGGAGAUUGUUGAAAGAUCAACCUUACAGAUGAAAUUUUAACUAUUUUAUAAUUUGGGACUUAUGGACAGCCAAUUAGAAGAGACUUAUGAAAGAUUGAUUUUGAAUAUGGUAACUACAGCAAGAUUAUUAUAUGCACAAAGAUGAAAAAAAUUCUGAAACUGGAGUGGUUUGUAAAGGUUAUGGAAUUGGUGGAAGUGGUAAAAUUGACCUGUUUGAUCAGUGAUAAGACAGCAAGUACUAUAUGUUUGAUCAGUGAUAAGACAGCAAGGACCAUAAGGGGCGUGCAUAA